AACGAACGCUGGCGGCAGGCCUAACACAUGCAAGUCGAGCGCUCACCUUCGGGUGGGAGCGGCGCACGGGUGAGUAACACGUGGGAACCUACCUUGAAGUACGGAAUAACUGAGGGAAACUUCAGCUAAUACCGUAUACGCCCUACGGGGGAAAGAUUUAUCGCUUCAAGACGGGCCCGCGUUGGAUUAGCUAGUUGGUGAGGUAAUGGCUCACCAAGGCUACGAUCCAUAGCUGAUUUGAGAGAAUGAUCAGCCACACUGGGACUGAGACACGGCCCAGACUCCUACGGGAGGCAGCAGUGGGGAAUAUUGGACAAUGGGCGCAAGCCUGAUCCAGCCAUGCCGCGUGAGUGAUGAAGGCCUUCGGGUUGUAAAGCUCUUUCAGAUGGGACGAUGAUGACGGUACCAUCAGAAGAAGCCCCGGCUAACUUCGUGCCAGCCGCCGCCGUAAUAC
rnacentral:rRNA from 1 species